GAAGAAUCCGGUGUUGCCAAUUUCGGUCUUCCCGAGGAAGUGCUGGGAGUUCUACCGUCGGAUCCAUUCGAGCAGCUCGAUGUGGCUCGGAAAAUCACCUCCAUUGCUCUCUCGACGCGUGUUUCUGCUCUCGAAUCCGAAUCCUCCGCUCUCCAUGCGCAAAUUUCCGAGAAGGAUGCCCUCAUUGCGGAGCUGCAAUCGCAUAUUGAAUCCCUCGAUGCCGCUUUAUCCGAGAAAUCCGAAAUUCUUGCCCGUGC
rnacentral:misc_RNA from 1 species